AGAGUCCCGCAAAAGUGCUUACAGUGCAGAUAGUGCUUCUAUCUACUGCAGUGGAGGCACUUCUAGCAGUACACU
rnacentral:pre_miRNA from 1 species